rnacentral:tRNA from 1 species
GCGCUUGUAGCUCAGCUGGAUAGAGCAGUGGACUUCGAAUCCAAAGGUCGCAGGUUCGAAUCCUGCCAGGCGCACCA